rnacentral:rRNA from 1 species
UACGUAGGUGGCAAGCGUUGUCCGGAAUUACUGGGUGUAAAGGGCGUGUAGGCGGGAGAGUAAGUCAGAUGUGAAAUUCCCAGGCUCAACUUGGGAGCUGCAUCUGAAACUAUUUUUCUUGAGUGCUGGAGAGGAAAGCGGAAUUCCUAGUGUAGCGGUGAAAUGCGUAGAUAUUAGGAGGAACACCAGUGGCGAAGGCGGCUUUCUGGACAGUAACUGACGCUGAGGCGCGAAAGCGUGGGGAGCAAACAGG